rnacentral:lncRNA from 1 species
GGGACUCAGUCUUCAAAACGCAUUGUGUAUUUUCUACUUACAAGCCAUCUCAAUUCCAAAUGGCUGCCUUUCAGGUGCUCAAUAGCUGCAUGUGGCUAGAAGCUACUGUACUGGAAAGCUCAGAGCUGAACCACAUGAAAAAUUUUCAAAGGUGAUGGCUGGUAAGUCUUGAACUCCUCACCCACAUUGAGGGUACAAAGAGGAGGAGUUUUGGAGAGAGUUUGUGGAAAGAAUUUCUUCAGAGAAAGCCUUGUUGUGAGUUCUACCCUCCUUCCCCAGAGGGGUGGGAUCGGCAUCUUAAACCUAAACCAGAUGCGAAGGACCACAAAGAGAGGGAGAUGCGGGGGAAAGGAGCUUUGGGAAGAGACGAGGCUGUGCUGCGAGCCCCGAGGGGAGGGGAGGACUGUGGGAUCCCUACCUCUUGCCUCAAUCUUGAAAAAGAGCUUAUAGGGUCCCUUGGAGACCCAUCCCCUCUAGUUUGAGAGAUACAGUCACCUGGUGUUUGAUUUACACCUGAGAAAUCUAAACGUCGAGAGACUGACUGCAGCUGCCUGUGGGAGCCCAGUAGAAGCUGUUGCAUUUGGAAGCUCUGCACUCCCAUCUAUUGGGAUAAAAAUUACAAGGAGGUUUCCUGAGAAUGGACAAGGGAGAAAGCCAGUGAGAGGUCCUGUCCAGGAGGGUCACUGGCCACCGGACCUCAGCAGAGGGAAGAUACAGGUGUCACUCAAAGCCUUGAGCUAAAGAAGGGCAAGUGAUGGCCCUAAGCAGAGAUACAUUGGCCCUCAUCAAGGGGAUAGCAGCUGAGAGAGAACAGGGUCCCCAAAGCACCCAAGAGAGCAAGGUCAGAGCACAGCACUGCUAGAUCUCCAUGUACUGGUCAAAAAAGAAAUUUCUGGUUCCUUUUGACCCAAUUUGCAUUUCGUCUCUGGAGGAGUCAGAAAGGUGGAUAGAAAAUGGGAAAGGAAGAGAUGCAUAGAUGAGGAAAAAGAAGAGUCUACCAUGUCCCUCUGCUCUGAUGAAGGGUUCUGACUGCAAUAGGCUGGAGAGGGCAGCGUGGAAAAGCUUCAUUUUAAAUCCAGUGUAGAGGUUUAAUUAUACAGGGCAGGACAUUUAAAUUACUGAUGUAAAUUAUUGUGUGACUAAAUGUAUUAGGUGAAUGCUGUAAGACUGUACUUCUCACCUGCUUGAUGUCUUGAUCUCAAGUUUCUAGGUUUCCAUUUGCUCCCUCUGUGAUCCCUCCUGCUCCCUGACUCUGGGUGUAGCCUGCUGAAUUGCAACUCUGAUCAAGCCACACUCCUUCUCACAAGCCUGUCGUGUGCAAACCUCCAAAGGCUCUCCAUUGCAUAGAUGAAGAUGCUUCUUACACUCAGUCCAAAGGCAACAUUGUGGUGGAUGUGGUAGGUGGUUGAUGGGGGCAGUGGUGGGAUAAGGAAGAGCAGAGAACACAGUGUCUCAGGUGCACCUGGAGUCCAGACCAGAAAGUCCAGGUAGAGUUUAAAUUUAGCUAGCUUGCAAUGGGGAUCGAUUGCAAUCAAGCAUAUCAGUAAGUGAAAUUGAUCAACUGGAAAUGUUGACAUAUCAUUACAUUGUCAUUGAGUAAAAAUAAACCACUUAACCAUCAAUCAUCAAAUGGCUCCCACCCUCAUGGGAUUUGCAGUUUAUUAGUUGAGAUAUUUGCAGGAAAUUACAAUGAGGUGUGAGGGUUGAUAAGGCCGAGGAAGAGCUGGGUGCUUUGGAUGCCCAUGGCAAGGACACAAUUGUAAGGUCUAAAAUCUUAUACUUUGAGGCUUCCGUCAUUCUGGAUCACAUCUACAACCAUAUAUAGACCUGGAAAGGAAACAAGUGUCAGAGGGCCCUAGCCCCCAAGACAAAUGGAAAAAGAAAUAGCCUUAUUGGGUAGGAACACAAUUAGGAAGGCAAAGGUAAGAAAAGGGCUGAACUGUCCAAGGAUAAAUGGAAAAACAGGAUGAUACAAUUAUGGAAGAAGAAAAGGGACCAAAGAAUUAUAAUUUGCUUCUUAAAUCAUUUAUUGAUCUCCUACAAUGGGUAUAAGACACUCAUAGCUUCCAGAUAAUGGUUAAAAAUGGAGGUCAGUUUGAGGCAACCUUUCUGUGAUGGCUGUGAGAAUGCACCUCUCAGAUUUCUGGAGGCUGGGGAUGUAACUGAUCAGCAGCCCCUUUGCUGAGCCUGGAAAUCCUUCCUGUGCUCUCUGGAGCCAUGCUUCCUAUAGACCGUCCCCAGCAGAUGACAGAACAUUGAGGGGAUAUGAAGGCAGUCUUGUUCCUAGGAGACAGGGGGCCCUUCUUUUUUUUUUUUUUUUCUUUUUUUCUUUUUACCAUUUCUAGGGCUGCUUCUGCAGCAUAUGGAGGUUCCCAGGCUAGGGGUCUAAUUGCAGCUGUAGACGCCGGCCUACACCACAGCCACAGCAGCGUGGGAUCUGAGCCGCGUCUGUGACCUACACCACAGCUCAUGGCAACGCCAAUCCUUAACCCACUGAGCAAGGCCAGGGAUCGAACCCACAACCUCGUGGUUCCUAGUCAGAUUCGUUAACCACUGAGCCACGACGGGAUCUCUGACAGGGGACCCUUCUGAUGGGUGACUUUGGCUUGACAACGCUUGGACAGUGUUUUGCACUCUCCUUGAACUCUCACUGCAGUCCAGAAUGUUUCCACUCAAACUUCCUUCUCUCCUUUACUGAGGGUUAAACGCACGUCCCAGCCUUUCCUAGCACCCUUCCCGCUUUCUUUCACAGAUUCUUCCCUUAGGAAAUUUGUGCGCAUCUAAUAUUGGAAGACCUGGAAUAACACAUCUUCUCAAAAGAGCGUGCCAGAGAAAAUGAAUAGGUGUUUGUUGGAGUCAUCUAUUUACCUAGGAACAGUCGGGAGCUGUCAGGGUGGGUGCAAGAGGGGAGGGGCACAAGCCAGGCCAGGUGGCAUCACACACACCUGGGGCAAAACUUGGCUCUUCCACUUCAGGGUGUGAUGGGGGCAGUUACCUAUUCUUUGCUACCUUUCAUUUCCUCAUCUGUAUAAUGCAAUACUCGUUUUUCCCUCACAGGCUUUUCGUGGGGAUUAACUGAGAUAAUGUAUGUAAAGGCCUUAACACAGUCUCUGGAAAAUAUUUGGGCCGGCUUCUGAGGGCUUCAUCCCCUUUCUCCUUCACACACGCAGCCUCUGUAGGAGAAGGAAGGAAACUCAAGGGCAUUUGGCCCUCUUUCAUAUAAGGAGCCUUGAGGUGCUAUCCUUGUAAUACAGCUUCAGUAAGGCCCUACCUCUCCAGGAAGCCACCUGUGGCUUCCAUAGCCCUGGGAUUGAUGUCUUUUGCUUCUUUCUCUGAUGUCCUCUUAGCAUUCCACUUUUGAUUCUAAUUGUGUGGGACCCGGUGUUGUUUGCAGGGGAUCACUCCAGCCCCUCUUUUCUGGGAACAUCCUCCACAACCAUAACCUGUAAUUCUGAUACACUAUAAUUCUGUCCCUGGAUACAGUCAACUGUCUCAGGGAUGGUACCUUUCUUUUUUUUUAAAUUUUGUUUAUUGAAGUAUAGUUGAUUUACCAUGUUCCUCCAAUUUCUGCUGUAUAGCAAAGUAACCCAGCCACCCAUAUAUCACCCUUAUCCUCCCCAUUUUCCAAGAGACUUGACACAGUUCCUGUGCUAUAUAGCAGGACCCCAUCACCCAUCCACUUUAAAUGUAACAGUCUGCAUCUACUAAUCCCAAACUCCCCAUCAGUGCCCCUUUCUCCUCUCUCUCUCAUGGCAAACAAAAGUCUGCCUUCCAUAUCCAUGAUCUGUUUCUGUUUUGUAGAUAGAUCACUCGUGCCACAUUUUAGACUCCAUUUAUAAGCUAUAUCAUAUGGUGUUUGUCUUUCUCUUUCUGACUUACUUCACUUAGUAUGAGAGUCUCUAGUUCCAUCCAUGUUGCUGCAAAUGGCAUUAUUUUGUCCUUUUUUAUGGCUAAGUAGUAUUCCAUUGUAUAUAUUUACUACAUCUUAAUCCAUUCAUCUGUCCAUGGACAUUUGGGUUGUUUCCAUGCUUUUGGCUAUUGUGACUAGUGCUGCAAUGAACAUAGGGGUGCAUGUAGCUUUGUAAAUGAAAAUUUUGUCUGUAUAUAUGCCCAGGAGUGGGAUUGCUGGAUCAUAUGGUAAUUCUAUAUUUAGUUUACUGAGGUUCUCCAUACUGUUUUCCAUAGUGGUUGUACCAAUUUACAUUCCCACCAACAGUGAAGGAGGCUUCCCUUUUCUCCACACCCUCUCCAGCAUUUGUUGUUUGCUGACUUGUUAAUGAUGGCCACUCCAGCUGCUGUGAGGUGGUAGGCACCUGUCUUGAAAUAAGGCAUUAAUGCCUUCCCUCAGAAUUUUAGCUUCAGAACGAGGAAUGUCAGACUUAUCUCUCUCUCUCUAGGGGCAACUGAGGUUAUCUGAAGCUACUGGCAGCCCAGCCAUAUGUUCUACUGUGUGUGUGUGUGUGUGUGUGUGUGUGUGUGUGUGUGUGUGUAUAGCCAGGCUACAAGGAGAUGAAAGAACAUUGCUGUCGUGCGAGAGAGGGAGAUAAAGAGAAGGAUAAAGAUCCAUCUGUACGCAAGUCCCGGGUUCUGUUUAUUCUUCAGAUUCUAUGGGGCAUCUCAACAUUCUCCUAAUCCUUGCUUAAGCUAGUUUGAUUAGGGCAUCUGUCGCUUAUAGCCCAAAGAGUAAUAAAGGUGUGUCAUUGUUCCAUGUGUCUACCCGGCCUUUCCACCUUGACCCUGAGCCUCCCAGGACAGAGACUACACCCCUCCCUCUGCUUCUGCCCCCCUGUGCCCAGAAUACUGCUUGGUCCAUGCAGCUGUUCCAGACAGAUGUGUGGUUGACUACAAGGCUAAAUCAAAUAUUCUGCUCAUGGCAGGUUUCUAUAUAUUCCACGUAUGAUGUCACAGGACCACUUUAAUCUAUGCUCUAAAUGCUGGUUUAAAUGUGCUAAAAAUGUCUUGUGGCGAGGACUUUGGAAGCUGGUGGAAAAGAGCUCCUGGCAGGUAUUUUGCAUGAGGCACGAUGGAGUUUCAGGUUAACAGGUGUUGCUGGGAGAAUCACUGUAUUUAAAAUGAAGCUGUGGAGUUCCCAUCAUGGCUCAGUGGAAAUGAAUCUGACUAGCAUCCAUGAGGAUCCAGGUUCGAUCCCUAGCCUUGCUUGGUGGGUUAAGGAUCCUGCAUUGCUGUGGCUGUGGUGUAGCCCAGUGGCUACAGCUCCGAUUUGACCCCUAGCCUGGGAACCUCCAUAUGC